UCGUCCUCCCUCGCAGUUAAAAAGCCAAAGACAGGUAGCGUGGUCUGAAAGACCCAGUACCAAAUGACUGAGGAAUUGAACAAGCCAGGACAGGAGCAAUGGACAUUAGAAAUAAGCAAUGUGGCCCAAGACAAGACGAACUGGGAAACUCACUAAGGGAGCCUUCACUCCCUUGCUCAUUUCCUUCGGCCCCUUCCACCACGGUAAUUCCCGUUACCGUGGCAUGGAAAUUCACAAGGCCAGGGCCCUCCACCGCUUCCUCGAUCGCAGGCAGAAACCUCGCGAGUACUUUGAAAAUGCCCUUCGAAAGGUGGAGCACAAGCUCUGGGCUUGUUAUGACUGGCCUCCCGACUUUGCCUGCCUGGAUCAGGCCAAGUUCUUGGAGAUAAUGCUCUUGGAUGGCUGCUUCCUAUUAGAGUUUCUCAGAGAGGAUGAGGAGAAUGACCCUAUAUUUGGCAAGAAAAAGGCAGAGUAUAUGUACCAAGUAUUCAAUGACAUGCUGCUGCUCGAGAACCAGAUACCGCAACUGGUACUAGAGACUCUGCUCGAACAGUCGCCGAGAGGCUUAUACGACGCGAUAAAGGGGUUGGAGAGGCUGUAUCACAUGGACGAGGCGCAGGGAAAGAUCAUGUUGGAAGGGUUCAAGGAGAUGGGUGCGCUGCAUUGGUUGGACAAGGAGAGGCAGACCAAGUGGGAAGGCAUAAAAGGGCCCGAGGGGCUCAAGGAGAAGCCGAGGUUUUUCAAGAGAAUGUGGGAAUGGAUAAAGAGAUUGUGUGGGGUGCCUCUGGUUCCGGAGGAGCAGAGUAAGGAGAAUGAGAGGGAGACGCAGUUUUUUAUCAAGCGGCUCACGGCCACGAAUCUUGACGAGGCCGGGGUGAACUUAAAAACGCGCAGAACACGAGCCUUCAAGGACGUGAGUUUCAGUCAUGGGGUACUGCGCAUGCCGGCUCUAUUCGUCGACGACCACACGGGAUCGGAGCUUUUGAACUGUAUGGCGUUUGAGCAGCUGCAAGUAGGCACUGAAACAAUGGUCUGCUCAUAUAUGUGGCCUUUAUGGAGGAACUGAUGGACACAAUCAAGGACGUAGAGUUACUUGAGAAGGCAGGUAUAAUAGAGAACUACUUAGGGAGUCAGGAGAAAUUGGCAGAGGUCUUCAAUGAUUUUCUUCACGGUGUGAGGAUUCAGUUGAAAAGGCAUUGCGACCAACGAUGGAACAAGUGGCGAGCUUACUUUGUGCACACCUAUUUCAGGAACCCAUGGACGGUUAUGGCGUUUAUUGUAGGACUCCUCAUCACCGCACUCACAACCCUUUCAACAAUAGUUUCGCUACUCCAGUACUUCGCCAUACCCCACUCUUGAUGAUCCUCCUGUUGUUGUUCAGAUGUAAAGCCCUUGCUGUGGGUUUCAUCUACAUGUCUCGUUAUGUGUUUG